ACUCCACAGUGUUUGAGCUUGGAGUUGAGGCCACUGAUCGAUGAACUCACAAGUGCAGGUAGUGUGCUACCUGAGGGGCAAGUCUUUCACUAACACCGCAAGGGUCUCUGGCUCAAUGAGUGGAGUUUGAUAGUAAUUCUUGCUACAAGU